GAAAAAAAAAACUUUUUAGCUUAGCUUAGCACAGUUAUUAAAAGUAGAUGCUAGCUAGCUUAGCGACAACUUCGUGAACUCAUUUAAAAGUGUUUCUACCUGCAUGCAGCACAACUAAAGAGCUCACUGUGUCUCUGUCUGUCUAUGUGUCUCUCUAUAGGAGGAUCAUCUGUCAGACAGACAGGUUCUUCUCUGUUAGUCCCCGUCAUCAAUCUCCAAUCAGUCAGUCUUAUUGAUGAGCCCACAGCGCCGCUGCCAGCUGGCAGCUGCAGGGGAGACGGACAGACAGGGAGGAAGAGAGACGGAUGGAGUGAUGAGGAGAGUGAUAAAUAAAGGAAAGUCUCUGCGGAGUGGCGAGCCCCACCCACCUGGUGAAACACAUUAAAAGUCCCAUCUGAUGCAGGUUUUAUGACUUUGAUCAGGGUGAAACUGUCCAGGUCAGAGGUCGCCGUGUGCAAACAGACUCAUAUUGACACAAGAGGACGAUCGAGGACAAGUGAGUGAUCGCCUUCCUCUCUCUCUCUCCUCGUCUUUCCUCCUCUCCACUCAGAUUAAACGGCGGCCAGUCAGGGUUGGUUAACGAACAACCACCGGUCUGACGCUAACGGAGCACGGCGAGGAGGAGGAGGACGAGGAGGGAGUGUUACAUCUCGUCUUACAGGAGGUAGAGGAGGAGAUACUUCCUCCUCAGCUCCUCUUACCUCAAACCUUAAACACCAAAGACAGAGAGAGAGGGAGACCAAGAGAGAGACAGAGAGAAAGAGAGUGGCUGCCAGCAGAAAUAGAUCACCACUAAGUUUCUGUCCAAAUGUUGCAGAAUUGUUGAGCAAAUUCCACAAAACUUGCCAAAAGAAAGUGUGAACGAGAAAGUAUGUCUCUAACUAGUUUCUGUCUAUUCCAAGCAAAAUCACUGAAGAUGUUCGGUUGAGUCGUGAAUUAUUUGAGUUUCAGAUUCAGCUGAAAAGUCAGUAAGACUGUAACUCUUGGCAUCUCGAUUAAAAAUGCAGUCAGUUAAUAAAAAAACGAGAUGACUGUCUGCCUUAUUGAAAUGCAACACGAAACAGAACUGACUGUUCAGCCCG